rnacentral:lncRNA from 1 species
ACACUCUGCAUUAACUGUACACACAGCAUCCACUACACAAACAUCCUGUAUUCACAGUACACACACUACAUCCACCACAAAUUGAAACACUCUGCAUUCACUAUACACAGACACUGCGCCUGAUACACACACUACAGACACUGCAUCCACUAAACACAUUUCAUCUAGUACAUACAAACACUACGUCCACUACACAAACACACACUACAUCACUGUACACACACUACAUCCACUACUCAAAAACACUCUGCGUUCACUAUACACACUGCAUCCGCUACACCACACACUCUGCAUUCAUUGCACAAACAGUAUCUAAUACACACAAACACUACAUC